CUCCGAGGGACGGGCGCGCACCCAGCUCCCCGGCCCCGCCUCCCCGGGCUUCCUGCGAGCCAGGUCUGACAUUGCAGUUCACCAAGGAGCCAUGUCUCCCAGGCAGAAUGGAGAUCCAUCUUUCCUGGCCCUGCCUCUCCACCUUCUCCGAGCCAGCAUUCUAGUUGUCUCCAGGAAUGAUCUCCCUGACCAUCCAGGGCUCAAACCCUGAACCUAGGAAUUGUCCCAGAUGCUUUGCACCCCCAUGUACCUGAUCUGUUGACACAUCCUGUCACGCUGUCCCCCAAACUUCCUUGUUCUCUGCAUGUCCGUUCUUCACCUCGCCCAAGCUGCCCUGAGGCUCCCCAGGCUGCAGUGGCUGUUUCAGUCCACACCAUGGAGAGAUGGGUUCUUUAGCCCUGCGUUGGUCAUGCCACAUCCCUCACUUGAAGUCCUGCAGUGCUUCCCAUGUGAUAUGGUUUGGCUGUGUCCGCACCCAAAUCUCACCUUGAAUGUUAAAAUCCCCAUGUGUCAAGGCCAGGACGAGGUGGAGAGAAUUGAAUCACAGGGGCGGUUCCCCCUUACUGUUCUCAUGAUAGUGAAUAAGUCUCAUGAGAUAUGAUGGUUUUAUAAAAGGCAGUUCCCCUGCACAAGCUGUCUUGCCUACCGCCAUGUAAGACUUGCCUUUGCUUCUCCUUUGCCUUCCGUCAUGACUGUGAGGCCUCCCCAGCCAUGUGUAACUGUGAGUUCAUGAGUCCAUUAAAGCUCCUUCCUUUAUAAAUUGCCCAGUCUUGGUGAUGUUUUUAUUAGCAGCAUGAGAACAGACUAAUACACCAUGGCCUUUAGAAGAAAAUCUAUACACCUUCC
rnacentral:lncRNA from 1 species